rnacentral:miRNA from 1 species
UCAUAUUAGUUCUACCUCCUGCUG